AUGUCAAACAGGGGGAUCUCCAUGUUUCUACAAUGCAUGACAGGGUAUCCAGCAUUCCAAAUAAGCAUGCUGUCCUUAGCACAUGUCUGGUGGGCUUCAUUCCUGGGGUCCCUGGGCUGCCUGACCUUGCUGAGAUUUGUGACUAGAUCUCAUCUGGCUGGGAGCCCUCUGGCUGGUGCUCCUAAGACUGGAAUGCCUCCCGGUCGUGAUCAACAGAAAAUUGCUCCUGGAAAGGUCACGGAAUUUGGAGGCAGAGCUUUGAACCCAACCACUCCACGACAGCAUUUCCAAGAGAGAGAGCAGAGCACCCUGAAGCAAAGCCCACAGCCCUGGGUGGAAGUUCACCCCUGCAGCAGUGAGAUCUCAGAGGACAGCUUGGGGUUUUGCCCUGCCAACAGCAGCAGCUGACUGGAACUGUGCACAGCAGCUUUCCUGCUUUCUUUUUUUCUGCUGGGGGCUGGACUGACCUACAAGGAAACUCACAACUCCACUGAAGACAGCCAGACUCAGUAUUGGAAAGCAAGAAGAGGUCCAUCUGCCCUGAGCAGUGGCCUGGACCCCACCCUAAGAGAAUGUUUGUGGUGUCCCUGCCAACUCCUUCACUUCCCAGGAGUGAAGCCCCAUAUACAAUAUCCAUUCUCUAUGGGCCUAGUGAAGUUAGAACCAGCUGCAUCAGUCCCAGGUGGGUGCUGGGCCAUCGAACACCGCAGGAUGCCCAGCUGCAUCACGUCUGGAUCUUCUUGCUCAAAUACCUGGCCCCAGUGUCAGGCUUGAGACUGCUGUGCAAAUUCACUCAAAGAUGGAUCAAGCUGCAGUGUUGCAAGCACUGUGGGUGUGGGCAAGUGUGGGAAGUAAAAAAGUUCCUCUUUAAAGUUUCUUUUCUUAUUAAAGAAUAAAUCAUAAUGUGCUUAUAACUCUUUUGUUAAG
rnacentral:lncRNA from 13 species